AGAAAAAAAAGAAAGAGAAAGAAAAUAUAAUUUCUUUUCUUCUCUCUUUCCUCAACCGCGCGGACGUCUCCCCCCUACCCUCCUUCUCGUUUUUUUUUCCUUCUUCAAGCACGCGUCUCUGCCCCUAGCGCCGUUGAAGCCAGUCGCUCGCCUCCUGCUCUAGAUCUACAACCGCUGACCCCAGCUGACGCCUCCCCAGCUGUCGCCGACUGCCCUCUCCAGUCGUACCGCUUCCUCCAGCCGUCAGCUCCAUCAGUGACCAGCCGCCGCCGCCGCCAGCCCGAGAGCAUUCUCCACAGUUGUGCGUUGCCAGUCACCAUCCUCUAGCCGCGCCGUUAGCCGCCACUGCCCAGAUUCUUGCGAGAAUCUUGAAAAAUCUUGGGACUGAUUCGAGUUUUACCCAAGAGUUAUUAAGGAUUGUGACCAAGUUGAGGUAAGUGGUACUAGAUUAGAUUUAUAAAGUUAAUUAAUGGACUCUAGAAGCAUGAUUUUGUCGUUGUGAUAUACUUGUUGCAUGACAUUUAUGAGUAUUAAGAGCAUGUUUGAAUUUCUAAUCAGUACUGAAAUUAUGUAUGUGAUGCAUGAUUAGAUCGAUAGGGCAGUUACCAUUUCGCCUUGACGCAUGCUUUAUUUUAGAGAACCGACGGGUCUACUUUCAUGUUUGACGGUAUGCUUACGGGUGCUAGACAUGCGUGAAUCGUCUGGUUCACACGUUCAUGUUAUUUUUCCAUGUUUGAUGGUGUGCCUAUGGGCCGCUAGACAUGCGUGAAUCGACAGGUUCGCGUUCAUGUUAUUUUUUCAUAUUUGACGGUGUGCCUACGGACUGCUAGAUAUAUGUGAGUCGACAGGUUCACGUUCAUGUUAUUUUUUUCAUGUUUGACGGUGCCUACAGGCCGCUAGACAUGCGUAAAUCAACAAGUUCACGUUCAUGUUACUUUUUCAUGUUUUGACGGUGUGCCAUCAGGCCACUAGACAUGCAAGUCAAGGCAAGACAAUACAUCCUUUGGUUUCUUUUCAUCAUCUAAGACCGAUGUAGUUGUUUGAGCCACGGGCCAUCAUUCUCUGCUCGUGGAUGCAUAGCCUUAUCCUGGUAAUGGGAUCACUUACUGAGUAUUUUAUACUCAACCUUUAUCUUUAUUUGUUUUCAGGUAGCGACUGACAAGAGGAAUCCGUGAUAAUGCCAAAGGAACUAGAUUCGCUUCCGCAUUUGAACAUUUAUGUUUUCUCAUGUUUUUAUUUUAUUUUAUUUGUGAUUUUUCUUUUAUUAUUUACUUCAUGUUAAAGGGUACCCGGGUCAAACGAUUUAAAAUCUUGAAAUAAUGGCAGAAUAGUUUCUUAUACACUUCAGGAGUCCAAAAUCAUGUUAUUUUAUUUUAUUUUAUUUUCAUCAAUGUGAAUAUUUAUGAAGUGGGGUUUUGGCCAACUA